rnacentral:rRNA from 1 species
GAUGAACGCUAGCGGCAGGCCUAACACAUGCAAGUCGAGGGGUAACUAGAGUGAUAGCAAUAUUACUUUGGCUAGACCGGCGCACGGGUGCGUAACACGUAUGCAACCUACCUUAUACUGGGGAAUAACUUCGAGAAAUCGGCGCUAAUACCCCAUAACAUUGCGAAGAGGCAUCUCUUUGCAAUUAAAGCUCCGGCGGUAUAAGAUGGGCAUGCGUCCAAUUAGCUAGUUGGUGAGGUAACGGCUCACCAAGGCUACGAUUGGUAGGGGUUCUGAGAGGAUGAUCCCCCACACUGGGACUGAGACACGGACCAGACUCCUACGGGAGGCAGCAGUGAGGAAUAUUGCGCAAUGGACGAAAGUCUGACGCAGCCAUGCCGCGUGCAGGAUGACGGCCCUAUGGGUUGUAAACUGCUUUUGUACGGGAAUAAACCCUUCUACGUGUAGGAGGCUGAAGGUACCGUAAGAAUAAGCACCGGCUAACUCCGUGCCAGCAGCCGCGGUAA